CCUUUGAGCUGGACCUAAACGACUCUUGGGUCUGGGAUACUCAGACUCCGGAUGACUAUACAGUAGCCGCCAACCGUGCAGGCAAGGACUUCUACAUAUAUGCUUGCAUUCCAGGCAGCGGGUUCUCUCCUAUACUGGUUCUGAGUGCCGCGGCCACCUACCCAUACGGCUACACCGUGGAUACUAGCCGCAAAAUAGGCGGUUUCCAUUGCGAAUGUGCAGAUGUGGGCACGAUCUCCGGCCACCCCCUCACAGGUUACCUGGCAGGAGAUAUCAUCCCCAGGUCUUGCUGGGAUCUGUCGCACAGAUCUGCAGGUGCGCAGGUGGGCAUGGUCUGGGCUGGUAAGACGGACUUCGAUACCCUUGUAGUC
rnacentral:rRNA from 1 species